GACGAACGCUGGCGGCGUGCUUAACACAUGCAAGUCGAACGAAGAGCGAUGGAAGCUUGCUUCUAUCAAUCUUAGUGGCGAACGGGUGAGUAACGCGUAAUCAACCUGCCCUUCAGAGGGGGACAACAGUUGGAAACGACUGCUAAUACCGCAUACGAUCUAAUCUCGGCAUCGAGGAUAGAUGAAAGGUGGCCUCUACAUGUAAGCUAUCACUGAAGGAGGGGAUUGCGCCUGAUUAGCUAGUUGGAGGGGUAACGGCCCACCAAGGCGAUGAUCAGUAGCCGGUCUGAGAGGAUGAACGGCCACAUUGGGACUGAGACACGGCCCAGACUCCUACGGGAGGCAGCAGUGGGGAAUCUUCCGCAAUGGACGAAAGUCUGACGGAGCAACGCCGCGUGAGCGAUGACGGCCUUCGGGUUGUAAAGCUCUGUUAAUCGGGACGAAAGGCCUUCUUGCGAAUAGUGAGAAGGAUUGACGGUACCGGAAUAGAAAGCCACGGCUAACUACGUG
rnacentral:rRNA from 1 species